CGUGUAGGCGGCCGAAUAAGUCUGGAGUGAAAGUCCUGAUUUCAAGUUGGGAAUUGCUUUGGAGACUGUUUGGCUUGAGUGCGGAAGAGGUAAGUGGAAUUCCCAGUGUAGCGGUGAAAUGCGUAGAGAUUGGGAGGAACACCAGUGGCGAAGGCGACUUACUGGGCCGUAACUGACGCUGAGGCGCGAAAGCGUGGGGAGCGAACA
rnacentral:rRNA from 1 species